UACGUAGGUGGCAAGCGUUGUCCGGAUUUACUGGGCGUAAAGAGCGCGCAGGCGGUCGGAUCAGUCGAAUGUGAAAGCCCCCGGCUCAACUGGGGAGGGUCAUUCGAUACUGUCCGACUCGAAGGCAGGAGAGGGAAGCGGAAUUCCCGGUGUAGUGGUGAAAUGCGUAGAUAUCGGGAGGAACACCAGUGGCGAAGGCGGCUUUCUGGCCUGUUCUUGACGCUGAGGAGCGAAAGCUAGGGGAGCAAACAGG
rnacentral:rRNA from 1 species